rnacentral:rRNA from 1 species
UACAGAGGUCUCAAGCGUUGUUCGGAUUCAUUGGGCGUAAAGGGUGCGUAGGUGGCGUGGUAAGUCGGGUGUGAAAUUUCGGAGCUUAACUCCGAAACUGCAUUCGAUACUGCUGUGCUUGAGGGUUGGAGAGGUAGCUGGAAUUCUCGGUGUAGCAGUGAAAUGCGUGGAUAUCGAGAGGAACACUCGUGGCGAAGGCGAGCUACUGGACAACAUCUGACGCUGAGGCUCGAAGGCCAGGGGAGCAAAAGGG